rnacentral:misc_RNA from 1 species
GCUUCCUACCCUCAAUCUCACCAUCCCACAACUUUUUAAAACUUUCUGCACAUUCAAACCUAUUCGAAUCCACCAAACUCAAAAAAAAUAAUCAUGAUUCAAGAGCAUAGAAUCUGAUUAUUUAAAAAAAAAAAAAAAAAAAAAAAAAAAAAAAAAAACUAAAUAUUUUGCAAGAUGCUCAAGAAGCCCUUUAAUCCAUAGCAUUAGGCCCAGCACAUGCCUUCAACUCAGGGCUCCAAACCCACUGCACCAAAAACCUCCUUCCUCUUUUACCAUUCAUGUUAAAAGUCCUUCCUUGCUUGUCCC